rnacentral:lncRNA from 12 species
UUUUAAUCAAAGGUAAAUAACAGUCAGUAUUGUCUGACCCUUAAUCCAAUUUCCUAGAACUGGAGAAUAAUGUUCCAACUUAAACAUGUGGCACUGGCCCACCAGAGGGGGAUGGCUACUCAACCAGCAAGCGGCUGGGCACAGGACAGCUGAGGAGAGCAGAGCUGGGAGAGAUGCCACAAGGCAGGAGAGUUGGGACCCAGCUGAUGCUCUGCAUGUGCAUGCCUG